rnacentral:rRNA from 1 species
UGGGGAAUCUUGGACAAUGGGCGAAAGCCUGAUCCAGCCAUGCCGCGUGAGUGACGAAGGUCUUCGGAUUGUAAAGCUCUUUUGGCGGGGACGAUAAUGACGGUACCCGCAGAAUAAGCCCCGGCUAACUUCGUGCCAGCAGCCGCGGUAAUACGUAGGGACCAAGUGUUGUUCGGAUUUACUGGGCGUAAAGGGCGCGUAGGCGGCAAUUCAAGUCAUCUGUGAAAUCUCCGGGCUUAACUCGGAACGGUCAGAUGAUACUGCUUUGCUAGAGUGCAGAAGGGGCAAUCGGAAUUCUGGUGUAGCGGUGAAAUGCGUAGAUAUCAAGAGGAACACCUGAGGUGAAGACGGGUUGCUGGGCUGACACUGACGCUGAGGCGCGAAAGCCAGGGGAGCAAACGGGAUUAGAUACCCAAGUAGUCCCUGAGCGGGCUGGCAAGGCGCAU